AUGUUAAUUUGUUCCUUUGUGCUCCGAGUCUUCUUCCUCGACAGUACAUCAAUGAAGCAAUAGUUCAACAACCUGUCUUGCAAUGGAUGUGUCGCAAGCCACAAUUUGUUGAAUGAUAUUAGGUUCUCAUCUGUUGGAGUAGGUGGCACAUGUGACUCUUUUAAACCUUUGAGGUUAGCCUAGCUUGUGCAGGUUUGGUCUUCUUCGGUUUCUUCAUCACAUGGAUGGAGAAAAGUCGAGAUGAUAGAAGGAUCUGGGGUUAGCAACCACAAAGGAUGUUGA
rnacentral:rRNA from 1 species